GAUAAACGCUGGCGGCGCACAUAAGACAUGCAAGUCGAACGGACUUAACCAUUAGUUUACUAUUGGAGCGGUUAGUGGCGGACUGGUGAGUAACACGUAAGCAACCUGCCUAUCAGAGGGGAACAACAAUUAGAAAUGACUGCUAAUACCGCAUAUGCCUUAGAAUCACAUGGUUCAAAAGGGAAGGAGAAAUCCGCUGAUAGAUGGGCUUGCGUCUGAUUAGAUAGUUGGUGGGGUAAAGGCCGUACCAAGUCGACGAUCAGUAGCCGGACUGAGAGGUUGAACGGCCACAUUGGGACUGAGAUACGGCCCAG
rnacentral:rRNA from 1 species